GUUUUAAAGCUGAUCCGUUGGUGAUACUGUAGUGUGCUCUACAGUGUUUCUCUGGUUGCGUUAUUAUUAACGUUCUAAACUGUUAAAGUGGCUGAAGCUAAGGAAACAUGGACAAGGUGGGGGACAAGCAUUUUUGCGACGAUCGUUUCAGAUUUGCAUCCAAGGAUAAUGCAUUUUGAGGAUGGAAUACUCAUUAAAGAUUACAUUCGGAUGAUGGCGUACAUGAUUGUGUUGUGUUUUACACUGGCCAUUUCACUGUCAUUCUGGAUUCUGUCCAUAACUGCAAGCACAUACUAUGGUACAUUGCAACCAGUUUCACCAUGGCGAUGGCUGUUUUCAGUGCUCAUCCCUCUUAUGAUCACCUUCCAAGCCUUUAAAAAGAAGAGUCUUGAUCAUGGUGGUGCUGUUGGAGGUGAGAAGCAUAUUUUGAG